GAGGGUAGAGCUCAGUGGUAGAGCGCAUGCUUAGCAUGCACAAGGUCCUAGGUUCAGUCCCCAGUACCUCCA
rnacentral:tRNA from 1 species